rnacentral:misc_RNA from 1 species
GCAAUUCGCGGCCCUCUGGGUCGGAUACCACGCCGGGGGUAAAACCCUAGCGGUGCGGGGAGCAAUCUCCGCUUCAGGUUAUCGCUAACACCCGUGUCUACUACCUUUGUUGCUUUGGCAGGCCGCUUCGGCGCGGCUCCGGCCGUCUGUGCCUGCCAGAGGAUCCAAACUCUUUUUGUUUAGUGUCGUCUGAGUUAAAAUAUAAUCGUUA